ensembl:lncRNA novel transcript
GGAGUCACCAUGACAACGGCCUCCAUGACAAUUACAGCCCAGGCAGCAGUGCCUCUUCCCAUGAGGCACUCCAAUACUCACUUGGAAUUUGCUCCCUGAUUUCAUGGCCCAGGCAGUGAAUUUGCCUCACUCCCCAAGUUUCCACAAGGCCACAGGGAAUAGACUUGGUAGCCAACCACAGCCCCGAAGAUGGGAGAAAGCAAAGAAGGAAGAAUGAAGCAUGGGAGAGAAUGAAAGAGGAGAGGGGGAACUGAAGCUCUCAUCUUCCUCUUCUCUGAUGGAACACAAAGGACUCCAGCAAGCUAUACAGGAAGCAUGGAAGCAUAGCAGCUGCUUCUUCUGGGAAGGCCUCAGGAAGCUUUCAAUCACGACAGAAGGCAAAGGUGGAGCCAACACUUCACAUGUCCAGAGCAGGAGGAAGACAGAGAGCCGGGAGGUGCCAUUUUAAACAACCAGAUCUCAGAAGAACUUACUGUCACCACAAAAUCACCAAGGGGGAUGGUGUUAAACCAUGAGAAAACCACCUACACGGCCCAAUCACCUCCAACCAGCACUGGGGAUGACAAUUUAACAGGAGAUUUGGGCAGGGACACAGACCCAAACCAUAUCAGUGUAUGUACAUUUUCGUUUAUUUACUUAAAAAAAAACCUAUUAGAAUCAUUCACUGUCACUGUACCUGGGAGAAAUACCAAAACAACUUUACUAAAACUUACUAAGAUACUAUUAUUGUGCCCAUUAAUUGUUUUCCAGGGAGAUGCACAUUUUUUAGCACAAAAUGCCCAGAUAGAAUUGGUAAAACUGAAAAUAUUAAUUUUAAUACGUCUUUAACAAUGUAAUGUUUUACCAAAAACUUCUCUUAUCUCAUCCUAUUCUUUAAAUAUAAACUUAGCUCACUUGCAAAUGGGGCCAUGUCUGCCAUAUAACCUAGUUAGUAACAUCAGUCACGACUAUCAAAUUAUCAGCCCAAUCAGAGUCACUUUAUGUCAUAAAAUGUCUGACUUCAUUUUUGAAUUUAAGUAAAUGGACUAAUAGACGUUUCAGAAAUAUUGUUAAAAAUUACUCAACCAUAUAUCGUGGAACUUGUGUUUUUUAAGGUAGCAUACUAAAAGCAGUCAAAUCAAGAUUAUGCUGAUACAAAGCGAAUAUAGUCUAUUCAUAUAAUUUAUAAAAACAACAAACACUUAUGCUGCUUCUCACUACUUAAUUUGAAGUAAUGCAGUGUAAUCUGCAGCAAAUAUGUGUUAUUUAUGGACCAAGAAGUAUAAAACUCUCGUUAGUCCUUUGGUAAAUAUGGGUGCAUGUAUGAAUUGAAUCUGUCUCUCAGCUUUUGAAAAUCAUUAAAUCACAAUUAUGAAUAAAAUUUCAGAAAUAAUGCCA